UACGUAGGUGGCAAGCGUUGUCCGGAUUUACUGGGCGUAAAGGAUGCGUAGGCGGAUUUUUAAGUCUGAUGUGAAAACCCCGGGCUCAACUUGGGGACUGCAAUUGAAACUGGGAAUCUAGAGUGCGGGAGAGGAAAGUGGAAUUCCUAGUGUAGCGGUGAAAUGCGUAGAGAUUAGGAAGAACACCAGUGGCGAAGGCGACUUUCUGGACCGUAACUGACGCUGAGGCAUGAAAGCGUGGGUAGCAAAC
rnacentral:rRNA from 1 species